rnacentral:rRNA from 1 species
AUAUCAAUAAGCGGAGGAAAAGAAAAUAACAAUGAUUCCCCUAGUAACUGCGAGUGAAGAGGGAUAAGCUCAAAUUUUAAAUCUGUUAGGUUCACCUAACCGAGUUGUAAUUUGAAGAGACGUUUUCUCGCUCUUGAUCAGCCCAAGUCCUAUUGAAUGAGGCAUCGUGGAGGGUGAUAAUCCCGUACGGUUGAUCAAUGCGUUUUACGAUACGUUUUCAAAGAGUCAAGUUGUUUGGGAUUGCAGCUUAAAAUGGGAGGUAAAUUUCUCCUAAGGCUAAAUAUUGGCGAGAGACCGAUAGCGCACAAGUA